CAUCUCCUUAUUGGCUCGAGGUGUUAGUGUGUGAAACUGCUUCUUCUUUUUUCUUUCUUUCUCCAGUUUCCAGUUGCAGGUUUUGCAGUUUGAUCAGCCCACACGCCUCCUGCAGCAGAGCGGGCCACUUUUAUGUCAGUGAGUCACCUGGGUGAAUGCUCCAUCUCUUUGACCUGCAUUAAUGCUUCUCGAAUAGGAAACUCGUCGAAGUAUCUGAGGAUCCGUGGCGGGAGCUGAAGGAAACUUGAAGAAGCCAUCUGAGGGUCCGUGGCGGGAGCUGCAGCGAGGUGAUUGGGUGCAGCACAGCGAGGGAGGAGGAGGUGCAACGAGAAGAAGUGUUCAGAAAUGGAGGACGCUGGGUCGCAGUAGCUGCCUCAUGCGGACCACUCUCUGCCAGGAGACACACCGAAGCUUCACCCGUCCUCCGUGUCUACAGGUGAGUCCUCUCAUUUUCACAUCCUCACCUUUAAAUAAGGGACUUCUACAUCAUGGAGGAAGCUUCAUUUGUUCCCAGC